UUUUUUGCUUUCCAUUCAACAAUUUACAAAUUAUUGGUUAUUCUUUUAAAAGUCGAUCAUGAAUUCUUUGUUUUGGGAUGAUUGUUUUGUAAUCGCGUGAUUGGAAAAAGUUAAUAUGGCGACGUGAACAUGGGAGUAAACACCGUAUACGUCGAUCUACGGCUUGUUUAAAAUCGUAAUAAAAGAAGAAAGACGUGAUUUGAGAAUGAAAUGUAAGUUGAAAUUAACUUUAUAUGCCUCAAAUUUUCCAUCCUAUGUUUCUUAAUGUAACUUCAGUUGUCUAAGUUCAAAAUACAAGCUCGCGAAAUUUGACAAAUUUUGAAAAUAUGUAAAAAUAGCUUGACUUUGAAUUGUACUUUCUCAAAAUAGCCCGUGGCCUCAAUUUCAAAUAUAGCUAAAUGAAAAGAAAAAACUUUUCGGCGUUUGUAGGUAUCAAACAUAUCGUCAGGAAAAUAGGGGCUCACAAUGUUUUAGUUCAGUCUUUGAGACCCAGUUGCUUCGCACGUGUUGUGGUCAAAUUUUUGCCAAGAAUCAAAGGCCGAAAUGUGAACUUCCUUCAUGAAAACCGCUUCGAGAAGGGUCUGGUUUGAAAAUUUAGCUAUUAAUUUCGAUUUCAUGAGCAUAUUUUGGUUACACGUUAAGUAUUUUUGUGCUUGAUGAGAUUCAAAAUUUGUUGUAUAUUCAAGCCCGGCUUUUGUGUAAUUUUGGUGAUGACCGGAACAGAAAUAAAGAUAUUUUAAAAACUGGCCGUGGCCUCACGAUAAAACUUUCUACAAUUGUUCUCUGUUUCAUGUACUUUUAUUUGAUAUCUUAGGUAUAAGCGUAAAAAUAGGGGCUCAUACAGUUUAAGAGGUUGUAAAAUGCAUGACUUGCCUCUAUUUUCAUGUAAACAUUCGAAAUUCUUCGACAGCAAAGUAGCAACUGUUUUAGAUCGAAUGCACACGGACAGCCCACCAGAGACAAUGGCAGGGUACUGAAAUAGAACGUCACUAAAAAAUUCUGUAUGAUUAAUUUAGAUCAUGUCCAUUUUCAACAUAAAACAGUCAUUUAUUUUGUACAAACAUUUGGCAAUAUUUGCACGAUUGUGCCUUUUUGUAAACACGCGUUGCGUGUAUUCCACUCAGAGCUGCCACUCUCAAUAGCCUAUUUUCACCUAAGGCUAGUACUAAAAUCCCCUACUUUUCCCUACAAGUCAAUGUGUAAUUUUCCCCUACAUUCCCCUACGUUCCCCUACAAAUAUCGCAUUUCCCCUGUAAUCCUGAAUUAUCAUCUACGAUACAGAUGUUUCCGGUUUUUAAUAUAACGAUAAUAUAUUCUAUUUAUUAAAUUGCACAAACCUUAACAAAACCAAACCACAAACUAUUACUCAAAAAUUCACUCAAAUUCACUCAAAAAUUCAAGAAAUAGCGAAACAUUCUUCUGCACUAAUGCACUUGGAUGAAUAUUUAAGUUGUUGGGAAAAAAUCCUUAGAUUUCCUUAGAUUUUUUCUCUUCCUUAGAUUUUCCUUUUCGACACUAGAAUUUCCUUAGAAAAGGAAAUUUCCUUGAAAAUGGAAGCACUGUCGUGGAGACCGGAGACGUGGAGUUAUUAUAUCACAUAUUCCAGUGCUUCCACAUUCAAUUCAAAUCUAAAUUUCUAGUUGUUUCCAUGAAAAAUCCUGAUUAUCCUGCAGUUCAAUAUUGCUAGUUCCAUUUUGUAAUUCAUAAUACCAUAACCAGACACACAAUUUUUUUUUCAAUUCAAACCGUGAAGAAAUCCCCUACGCUCCCCUACAGAUUACCCUUUCUCCCCGUAGGUAUUCCCCACUCCCUACAAGAUGUCAUAAUCCCCUACUGUAGGGGAAUCCCCCUACGAGUGGCAGCCUUGAUUCCACUCAAUUGCGUGACUCAUUUUGCUCGCGCAUGCUCAGACAAAUUUCCCACCUGUUGUUGAACUCAUGUUUUGUAGUGGACUAACAAUAUUUUUUCCCCUUUAUUUAUUCUGGCUAUUUUGAACCUGGCCCGAAGAGAUUAAGGUAAUCAUUCUAUAUUGUAUAAUUUCAGAAGAUUUUGAGGUCGUCCACUGAUGGAGUGAUGCCGUAGUGGUAGUACGGCUUAGCACGGCUUAGCAUUGCUCAUUUGCAUGCGCCUUGUACUCACAAAAUCAUCUCAAAAUGCCGUUUAAAAUUCUCUUGUACCAAAACGGUCUGCAUCAAUAUGCGUUUUGAACCUUUCUGUGUCGAUCUAUAACAAAAAUUUUUUUUUCAUUUUGCCCGAAAUGAAAGACGGCUUAGCACGGCUUAGCAUUGCUCAUUUGCAUGCGCAUUGUACUCAGAAAAUCAUCUCAAAAUACGCUUUAAAAUUCCCUUGUGCCAAAACGUUCUGCAUCAAGAUGCGUUUUGAACCUUUCUCUGUCGAUCUAUAACAAAAAAAGAUUUGUCGAUUUCCCCGAAAUUUUCUCAGACGGAUAACGGCUAAGCGUAGUAGAAACUUGCGAAUUCAAAUUUCUUUGCAGCAAUAUUAUUGUCGAUUUCAAGUCACUUUUCAACGCGCGGUUCCUAAGUUCUUUGCGAACUUGGCAACAAAGUUCGCAAGUUCAUUUCAAUGUUGAACUUUGUUUUUUAUUAAUAAUUUGUUCAUCACUCUACAGAGCAAUGCACUGUGCAUCUUUAUUUUUGGUUAUUCAAUUAUUCAGUCUCAAGGAUGGUUUCACGAAAAUCAGAACAUUAGCGCAGACCCUGCAUAAACAGGCUCUUUGAAACUGUACAUUAAGGAAUAGUGGAUCUUAGGACGGAAUAGUAAAUUUCAAAAUCUACUACUCCGGAUGUAUAGUACAAAAAUUUCGACCCCUGUUCUAUAUCGUUGCCAUCGUGGUAUAGUGGUAAAGAAUGAGGCCAUCAUCAUCGAAAGUUGUGGACCGUUCCCAGAUAAAACUGUCGUAACUUUUUGUAUAAUUUGUUCAUUAUUUCUUUUUGCCAUUAUUUUUCCAAAAUGGCUCUAAAUCGCACCUUCUAACAGCUGAAUAUCCACUUUUAAAUAUUUUUUGUGUAUUUGGACAAUUUUGAGUCGAUUUAACCAAGGAUGACGAGGGAUGAACAAGGAUGCAGAGCGCUGAAGAGAAUUCUUCUGUGUGAAAUCGAGAAAAUCUACAUAUACAGCUAGUGGAACACAAAACAGAGAAUAUUGGAGAAAAGUAAUAUAAAGAUUGAGGCCAUCAUGAGCGAAAGUUGUGGACCCUUCCCAGGUAAAACUCUCGUAUAAUUUUUUCUUUAUUUCUAAGCGUAGUGGAAUCUAUAAGAAAACACGGCUAUGGAUCAUUUGCAUACGUAUACUGUAUGAAAGUUUAUAUGUUAAAGUUUGCUUUAAAAUUCUCCAGAGCCAAAACUUUCUGCGUCAUUAUGCGUUUUGUACCUUUCUAAGUCGGUCUAUGACGAAAACAAUUUUUUGAUCAGCCAAAAUUAUUUGACUCAGAAAUCCGGGCAACGGGGAAGCGUAGUGUAAUUUAUAUUAAAAGGACGGCCAAGGAUCAUUUGCAUAAUGCUUCAGUGCUAUGAUAGCCAUGUGAAAAUGCGCUUUAAAAUUCCCCUGAGCCCAACUUAUCUCCGUUAAUAUGUGUUUUGAACCUUUCUAAGUUUGUCUAUGACGAAAAAUUUUUUUCGGUCAGCCAAAAAUUUAUUUGAAUCAGAAAUCCGGGCAACGGGCAAGCGUAGUGUAAUUUAUAUUAAUGGACGGGCAAGCGUAGUGUAAUUUAUAGUAAUCGGGACGGGCAAGGAUUGAUUUGCAUACGGCCCAGUGCUAUGAUAGCCAUGUGAAAAUGUGCUUUAAAAUUCCCCUGAGCUAAACCUAUCACCGUUAAUAUGCGUUUUGAACCUUUCUAAGUUGAUCUAUGACGAAAAUUUUUUUUCGAUCAGCCAAAAAUUUUCUAAGUGACAAGCCUAGCUUUAUUUGACUCCGAAAUCCGGGCAAGCGUAGUGUAAUUUAUAGUAAUCGGGACGGGCAAAGAUUGAUUUGUAUACGGCCCAAUGAUAGCCAUGUGAAAAUGUGCUUUAAAAUUCCCCUGAGCCAAACCUAUCUCCGUUAAUAUGCGUUUUGAACCUUUCUAAGUUGGUAAGAUGUUCUAUCGAAUUAGAAGGCCCUUGUAGCAGAGACUUGAAUUUGGGCAAGCCUGAAAAUUGUAUUUCUGGAAUCUACUAUCAAUAAGCCUUCUGUCAAUCCCUCAUUCGUGCAUCACUAGGCCGGACGUGGAGAUAAAAACCAGUUUUUCCAGCUGUGUAAUCGAAAAAGACGUGAAAGUUAAUAUUUUAUAAGUGAGGGUUAGGGUUUGGCUGUUUCGAAUCUGAUGUUCUAUUGAAUUUCAAGGUCCCUGUAGCGGAAACGUGAAUUUACACCGGUCUGAAUAUUGUAUUUUUAGAAUCUACGGUCCAUAGGCUUUCUGUCGAUGCCUUACUCGUGCAUCAAAAGACAGUCCAUGAAGAUACAAAGCAGGUUAUUCCAGGUGCAUAAUCGAAAAAGACGUGAAAGUUAAUAUUAUGCGAUUUCAAACCUUGCGUUCUAUUGAAUUUCAAGGCCUCUGCAGCAGAAACUAGAAUUUGUCACGGUCUGAAAAUUGCAUUUAUGAAAUCUACGGUCCAUAAGCUUUCUAUCGAUGCCUUAUACGUGUAUCACUAAACAGUUCAUGAAGAUAAGAAGCAGGUUAUUCCAGGUGCAUAAUCGAAAAAGACGUGAAAGUUAAUAUUAUGCGGUUUCGAACCUGAUGUUCUAUCGAAUUACAAGGCCCUUGUAGCAGAGACUUGAAUUUGGGCUAGCCGGAAAAUUGUAUUUCAGGAAUCUACUAUCAAUAAGCCUUCUGUCGAUGCCUCAUUCGUGCAUUACUAGGCCGGACGUGGAGAUAAAAAGCAGUUUUAUCCAGCUGUGUAAUCGAAAACCACGUGAAAGUUAAUAUUUUAUAAGUGAGGGUUAGGGUUUGGCCGUUUCGAAUCUGAUGUUCUAUUGAAUUUCAAGGUCCCUGUAGCGGAAACGUGAAUUUAAGCCGGUCUGCAAAUUGUAAUUUUAGAAUCUGUAGGCGAGAUGGUCUAGUGGUAAAGGCAAAGUGUUUGCAAGUGCAUAAAGCCAGCAUCGAUUCCUGGUUGAGUCAAAAGCAUUUUAAUGUCAAGCAUCGUUGUUAAUUAUUCCACCCGAGACGAGAUCUUUGUCGCCAAGUAGAAUAAAAUAGGAGUUAAAUUAAGUGUAGGCGAGAUGGUCUAGUGGUAAAGGCAAAGUGUAGCAAGUGUGUAAAGCCAGGAUCGAUUCCUGGUUAUGUCAAAAGCAUUUUAAUGUCAGGCAUCGUUGUUAAUUCCACCCGAGACGAAAAUUAGCCAAGUAGAAUAAAAAAGGAGUUAAAGCAAGUGUAGGCGAAAUGGUAUAGUGGUAAAGGCAAAAUGUUUGCAAGUGCGUAAAGCCAGGAUCGUUUCCUGGUUGUGUCAAAAGCAUUUUAAUGUCAGGUAUGGUUUAUAAUUAUUUCUCCCGAGACGAGAAAGAGUUAAGUGAGAAUAAAAAAGAAGUUAAAGCAAGUGUAGGCGAGAUGGUCUAGUGGUAAAGGCAAAGUGUUGCAAGUGCGUAAAGCCAGGAUCGAUUCCUGGUUGUGUCAAAAGCAUUUUAAUGUCAGGCAUCGUUGUUAAUUAAUUCCACCCCAUACGAAAAUUAGCCAAGUAGAAUAAAAAAGGAGUAAAAGCAGGUGUAGGCGAGAUGGUAUAGUGGUAAAGGCAAAGUGAUCCAAGUGCGUAAAGCCAGGAUCGAUUCCUGGUUGUGUCAAAAGCAUUUUAAUGUCAGGCAU